AACGAACGCUGGCGGCAUGCCUAACACAUGCAAGUCGAACGAGACCUUCGGGUCUAGUGUCGCCCGGGUUCGUAACGCGUGGGAACCUGCCCUUAGGGUCGGAAUAACUCUCCGCAAGGGGUGCCAUUACCGGAUAGUGUCUUCGGACCAAAGAUUUAUCGCAUUUGGAUGGGCCCGCGUUGGACUAGCUAGUUGGUAGGGUAAAAGCCUACCAAGGCGACGAUCCAUAGCUGGUCUGAGAGGAUGAUCAGCCACACUGGGACUGAGACACGGCCCAGACUCCUACGGGAGGCAGCAGUGGGGAAUAUUGGACAAUGGGCGAAAGCCUGAUCCAGCAAUGCCGCGUGAGUGAUGAAGGCCUUAGGGUUGUAAAGCUCUUUUACCCGGGAUGAUAAUGACAGUACCGGGAGAAUAAGCUCCGGCUAACUCCGUG
rnacentral:rRNA from 1 species